rnacentral:rRNA from 1 species
AGAGUUUGAUCCUGGCUCAGAACGAAUGCUGGCGGCAGGCCUAACACAUGCAAGUCAAGCGAACAACCACAUACAGGUUGUUAGCGGCGAACGGGUGAGUAACACGUGAGAAUCUACCUUGUUCAACGGGAUAGCUUAAGGAAACUUAGGGUAAUACUGUAUGAUUCCAAGAUUUUGGUAAAGAGACUAAUCGGAACAAGAUGAGCUUGCGGUAGAUUAGCUAGUUGGUGGGGUAAAGGCCUACCAAGGCACAGAUCUAUAGCUGGUCUGAGAGGACGGACAGCCACAUUGGGACUGAGACAAGGCCCAGACUUCUACGGAAGGCAGCAGUGAGGAAUAUUGGACAAUGGACGAAAGUCUGAUCCAGCCAUGCCGCAUGAGUGACGAAGAUCUUUAAAAACGGGUACAGAACAUGUACCUCUGGAUUGUAAAACUCUGUUUGUUUAGUGAUAAUAGUGAUAGUAACUAAACAAAAGCUCCGGCCAACUUCGUGCCAGCAGCCGCGGUAAUACGAGGGGAGCGAGUGUUGUUCGAUAUUAUUGGGCGUAAAGGGUAUGUAGGCGGUUAUGCAAGUCAACAGUUAAAUCUUGGAAUUUAAUUCCAUAGCAGUUGUUGAUACUACAUAACUACGAACUUAAUAGAGGUGAACACAAUUCCAAGUGUAGAGGUGAAAUUCGUUGAUAUUUGGAGGAGUACCAAAGGCGAAGGCAGUUCAUUGGGUUAAGUUGACGCUGAGGUACGAAAGCGUGGGGAGCAAACAGGAUUAGAUACCCUGGUAGUCCACGCCCUAAACGAUGAGUGCUAACAUGUUGGAUGUAAAAAAAAACAUCCGGAGGUACAUCUUCGGAUAUACCAAAGGUUGCAUGUUUAUGUUCGAUUGUAUAGCUAACGCGUUAAGCACUCCGCCUGGGGAUUACGACCGCAAGGUUAAAACUCAAAGGAAUUGACGGAGAUCCGCACAAGCGGUGGAGCAUGUGGUUUAAUUCGAAUCUACACGAAGAACCUUACCAGCCCUUGACAUUUUUGGUUAAACCUGUUGGAAACAACAUGCCGCUUACAACAAAGUAAGAAGACCUUAAACAGGUGCUGCAUGGCUGUUGUCAGCUCGUGCCGUGAGGUGUAUGGUUAAGUUCCAUAACGAGCGGAACCCUUACUCAUAGUUGCCGAAACCAAAUAAUGAGUGGCUCUCUAUGAGGACUGCUAACGACAAGUUAGAGGAAGGUGAGGACAACGACAAGUCAUCAUGGCCCUUAUGGGCUGGGCCACACACGUGCUACAAUGGCAACUACAAAGAGUCGCAAUAUCGUGAGGUGGAGCUAAUCUCAAAAAAGUUGUCUAAGUUCGGAUUGUACUCUGCAACCCGAGUACAUGAAGUAGGAAUCGCUAGUAAUCGUGGAUCAGCAUGCCACGGUGAAUACGUUCUCGGAUCUUGUACACACCGCCCGUCACACCAUGGGAACCGAUUUUAUCUGAAGGUUCUAGAUUUAGAAACCAAUGUAAGGUUGAUGACCGAGGUGAAGUCGUAACAAGGUAGCCGUAGGGGAACCUGUGGCUGAAAACAAU